CAGCAUCUCUGCAAUGAAGUUUAACUUCCUAAGCAUCAUGAACUUCUUAAGCAUCUUGAGAGCUGGAGGCAGAGACCUCCACAGUCCUAGGACUGGCAGUUCAAGACGCAAGGGCUCUGGGUCCUCGAAUUGCCAUGUGGAGGAAUGCUGACUGCCUACCAGAAACAUUCACAUUGAAUUUUUAGAGGGUGUGACGCUGACAUAGAAGAAAGUACACUGGCUUUGGUGGAAGGCAGACCUGGCACAACUCCUGUCACUGGCUCUUGUAACUCCUUUUAAUUUGGACAAGAUACUUUGUCUGAACCCCAGUUUUCUCAUCUAGAAAAUGGGAAUCAUAGUGUUCGGGAUUGUUAAAAGGACUAAGGAUUAUUUCUGUGAUGCAGUUGUUCAACCACGCUCUCAACAAAUUUAUGCACUGGACACCAACUGUGCACCUAGCACUCCUUCUAGGCUCUUGAGAUCCAUAAGAGAGAAACAAAGAUCCGCAUUCUCAUGGAGCUUGCAAUUUCAGAAAGAGGAGCUAAAUGGUAAACAAUAAAGAAAAUAAAUAAGU
rnacentral:lncRNA from 1 species